UUUAUAGGUUGGUCAUCACUAUAUAGCCUCGCCCUCCUCCAUAGUGACCGAUAUUGCGUGAAAUAACUGGAACAAGACAACAAUGAUAGACAGGAAGGUGAACAAGUUCCAAGCUGACAGCUAUUAACUAAAUUGUAAUGUAAAAAUAAAUAAUAAAACAGAUUAUACUACUACAUCUAACAAAA
rnacentral:sRNA from 1 species